rnacentral:rRNA from 1 species
UACGAAGGGGGCUAGCGUUGCUCGGAAUCACUGGGCGUAAAGCGCACGUAGGCGGACUCUUAAGUCGGUGGUGAAAUCCUGGAGCUCAACUCCAGAACUGCCUCCGAUACUGGGAGCCUUCGAGUCCGGGAGAGGUGAGUGGAACUGCGAGUGUAGAGGUGAAAUUCGUAGAUAUUCGCAAGAACACCAGUGGCGAAGGCGGCUGACUGGUCCGGUUCUGACGCUGAGGCGCGAAAGCGUGGGGAGCAAACAGG